GAUGAACGCUGGCGGCGUGCCUAAUACAUGCAAGUCGAACGAAACUUCUUUAUCACCGAGUGCUUGCACUCACCGAUAAAGAGUUGAGUGGCGAACGGGUGAGUAACACGUGGGCAACCUGCCCAAAAGAGGGGGAUAACACUUGGAAACAGGUGCUAAUACCGCAUAACCAUAGUUACCGCAUGGUAACUAUGUAAAAGGUGGCUAUACUACCGCUUUUGGAUGGGCCCGCGGCGCAUUAGCUAGUUGGUAGGGUAAAGGCUUACCAAGGCAAUGAUGCGUAGCCGAAUUGAGAGGUUGAUCGGCCACAUUGGGACUGAGACACGGCCCAAACUCCUACGGGAGGCAGCAGUAGGGAAUCUUCCACAAUGGGCGAAAGCCUGAUGGAGCAACGCCGCGUGGGUGAAGAAGGUCUUCGGAUCGUAAAACCCUGUCGUUAGAGAAGAAAGUGCGUGAGAGUAACUGUUCACGUUUCGACGGUAUCUAACCAGAAAGCCACUGCUAACUACGUG
rnacentral:rRNA from 1 species